rnacentral:Y_RNA from 1 species
UGCUGGCCUGAGUGCAGUGGUGUUUACAACUAAUUGAUCACAACCAGUUAUAGAUUCCUUUGUUCCUUCUCCACUCCCACUGCUUCACUUGACUAGCCAAAA